UCGAGGGGCAGCAUGACUGUAGCAAUACAGUUGAUGGCGACCGGCAAACGGGUGCGGAACACGUACACAACCUUCCUUUAAGCGGGGAAUAGCCCGGGGAAACCCGGAUUAAUACCCCAUAGUAUGGUGAAAAGGCAUCUUUUUACUAUUAAAGAUUUAUCACUUGAAGAUGGGUGUGCGGCUGAUUAGCUAGUUGGCGGGGUAACGGCCCACCAAGGCAACGAUCAGUAACUGGUGUGAGAGCACGACCAGUCACACGGGCACUGAGACACGGGCCCGACUCCUACGGGAGGCAGCAGUAAGGAAUAUUGGUCAAUGGACGAAAGUCUGAACCAGCCAUGCCGCGUGGAGGAUGAAGGUCCUCUGGAUUGUAAACUUCUUUUAUAUGGGACGAAAAAGGGUCUUUCUAGAUCAACUGACGGUACCAUAUGAAUAAGCACCGGCUAACUCCGUGCCAGCAGCCGCGGUAAUACGGAGGGUGCAAGCGUUA
rnacentral:rRNA from 1 species